UAGGGAAUCUUGCGCAAUGGGCGAAAGCCUGACGCAGCCAUGCCGCGUGAAUGAUGAAGGUCUUAGGAUUGUAAAAUUCUUUCACCGGGGAAGAUAAUGACGGUACCCGGAGAAGAAGCCCCGGCUAACUUCGUGCCAGCAGCCGCGGUAAUACGAAGGGGGCUAGCGUUGCUCGGAAUUACUGGGCGUAAAGGGCGCGUAGGCGGAUGUUUAAGUCGGGGUGAAAGCCCGGGGCUCAACCUCGGAAUUGCCUUCGAUACUGGACAUCUUGAGUACGGGAGAGGUGAGUGGAAACUCCGAGUGUAGAGGUGAAACUCGUAGAUAUUCGGAAGAACACCAGUGGCGAAGGCGACUCACUGGCCCGUUACUGACGCUGAGGCGCGAAAGCGUGGGGAGCAAACAGGAUUAGAUACCCUGGUAGUCCACGCCGUAAACGAUGAGUGCUAGUUGUCGGCAUGCAUGCAUGUCGGUGACGCAGCUAACGCAUUAAGCACUCCGCCU
rnacentral:rRNA from 1 species